rnacentral:rRNA from 1 species
AUGGGAUUAGCUAGUAGGUGGGGUAAUGGCUCACCUAGGCGACGAUCCCUAGCUGGUCUGAGAGGAUGACCAGCCACACUGGAACUGAGACACGGUCCAGACUCCUACGGGAGGCAGCAGUGGGGAAUAUUGCACAAUGGGCGCAAGCCUGAUGCAGCCAUGCCGCGUGUAUGAAGAAGGCCUUCGGGUUGUAAAGUACUUUCAGCGGGGAGGAAGGUGUUGUGGUUAAUAACCACAGCAAAGACGUACCCGCAG